rnacentral:misc_RNA from 1 species
GAUGAAGAACGUAGCGAAAUGCGAUAAGUAAUGUGAAUUGCAGAAUUCAGUGAAUCAUCGAAUCUUUGAACGCACAUUGCGCCCGCUAGUAUUCUGGCGGGCAUGCCUGUCCGAGCGUCAUUUCAACCCUCAAGCCCCCGGGCUUGGUGUUGGGGAUCGGCGAGCCUCCGCGCCCGCCGUCCCCUAAAUCUAGUGGCGGUCUCGCUGUAGCUUCCUCUGCGUAGUAGCACACCUCGCACUGGGAAACAGCGCGGCCACGCCUUUAAACCCCCAACUUCUGAACGUUUGACCUCGGAUCAGGUAGGAAUACCCGCUGAACUUAAGCAUAUCAAUAAGCGGAGGA